UACGGGGGGGGCAAGCGUUGUUCGGAAUUACUGGGCGUAAAGGGCUCGUAGGCGGCCAACUAAGUCACACGUGAAAUCCCCAGGCUUAACCUGGGAACUGCGUGUGAUACUGGAUGGCUUGAAUCCGGGAGAGGGAUGCAGAAUUCCAGGUGUAGCGGUGAAAUGCGUAGAUAUCUGGAGGAAUACCGGUGGCGAAGGCGGCAUCCUGGACCGGCAUUGACGCUGAUGAGCGAAAGCUAGGGGAGCAAACGGG
rnacentral:rRNA from 1 species